UUGGUGUGGUUGUUGCUGGCCUUCUUGGAGGCAUGUGCACACCUACCAUCCUCAUCUCUCCACCUGUGCACCUCUUGUAGAUUUGGAAUUGAUUAUCCGAGGCAACUCGGUCGUGAGGACUGCUAGCAUUUAGCUGGCUUUCUUUGCAAUUCCAGGUCUAUGUUUUUCAUAUACCCCAUUGUAUGUAACAGAAUGUAUCAUUGGGCCUUGUGCCUAUAAACCUUAUACAACUUUCAGCAACGGAUCUCUUGGCUCUCGCAUCGAUGAAGAACGCAGCGAAAUGCGAUAAGUAAUGUGAAUUGCAGAAUUCAGUGAAUCAUCGAAUCUUUGAACGCACCUUGCGCUCCUUGGUAUUCCGAGGAGCAUGCCUGUUUGAGUGUCAUUAAAUUCUCAACCAUUAUCAACUUUUGCUGAUAAUGGCUUGGAUGUGGGGGUUAUUUUGCUGGCUUCUCAGAUAGUCAGCUCCCCUUAAAUGCAUUAGCCGGUGCCCCGCGUGGACUGUCUAUUGGUGUGAUAAUUAUCUACGCUAUGGACAUCUGCAAUCAUAUGGGUUUGCACUGCUUCCAACAGUCUGUUAAAGACAAUACAUGACAAUUUGACCUCAAAUCAGGUAGGACUACCCGCUGAACUUAAGCAUAUCAAUAAGCGGAGGAAAAGAAACUAACAAGGAUUCCCCUAGUAACCUGCGAGUGAAGCGGGAAAAGCUCAAAUUUAAAA
rnacentral:rRNA from 1 species